CGGGGAUUGAACUUGGAUCCUUGCGCUUACAAAGGCAGGUGGCAGAACCACUGAGGUCUGGAGAGAAACCUAAGCUUGCUUCUCCAAGACUCUUACAAUGGACUGAUACUUUAGAGGUAAAAGGCAAACAGAAUGAGAAAAUUGAUCAUCAGCAAUCGUCCAACUGGUGCUCCCUCCCAAGGAUACUGAAGAGCAGUUUCUUGAGCUGGGACUGGGAAGGACAAGUAGUAAAAAAACUUUCAAGUGCAGACUUCAAUGUUUCCUGAAUAUGAUCUCACGAAACUAACAGUCUCCAGCUAUCACUGAAGGACCCUGUCCUUGGAAAGGGUACUGGGGAUUGAACUCAGGACCUUGUGUUUUGCGAUGCAGACGCGGUGCCACUGAGCUAAAUCCCCAGCCCCUUGGCUGCCUUUCUUUGACAACACUUUUUUUUAAAGAUCUAAUGGAUCUAUCUGGGAUUGGCAACUAAUUCAUGAUAAAGACGGAUUAAAAAUAUUAUCCACAUCUUAUAUUAUUUAUUGCCUAUAUAUCAAAAUCAUACCCUCUUAGUGAAUGAUAGAAACAGUGCUAACUGCAGACCUCCGUGCUGUGAUGGAAGUCAUUGAGAAUCUACAAUUUUUCUCCUAUUGUCUUUAUGAACAAGAAAUCCAUCACACUGAAAUGUGGAUCUUUUAAAUUAUUAUACUAACUUUACGCUUGAACCAUUUAUUUUAUAUGCUGAAGAAAACCUAUUAUCUGAUGGGCAACCUGGAGAAAAAGAAAUAAUUUUUAUUGUGAUGUUAAGCAAGUCUGGUGAUAAUCAUUGAAGAUGACUAAAUUUUUAUGAAUCACUUGCAAAAAUUAUGCUUGUUAGG
rnacentral:lncRNA from 1 species